UAAUGCCGGAUGCUCCGACUCCUCGCAUGGGGUGUCGGGAAAGAUUUCAUCGGUAUGGGAUGGGGUCGCGUCCUAUCAGGUAGUCGGCGGGGUAACGGCCCACCGAGCCUACGACGGGUAGCCGGCCUGAGAGGGCGACCGGCCACAUUGGGACUGAGAUACGGCCCAGACUCCUACGGGAGGCAGCAGUGGGGAAUAUUGCACAAUGGGCGCAAGCCUGAUGCAGCGACGCCGCGUGCGGGAUGACGGCCUUCGGGUUGUAAACCGCUUUUGAUCGGGAGCAAGCCUUCGGGUGAGUGUACCUUUCGAAUAAGCACCGGCUAACUACGUGCCAGCAGCCGCGGUAAUACGUAGGGUGCAAGCGUUAUCCGGAAUUAUUGGGCGUAAAGGGCUCGUAGGCGGUUCGUCGCGUCCGGUGUGAAAGUCCAUCGCUUAACGGUGGAUCUGCGCCGGGUACGGGCGGGCUGGAGUGCGGUAGGGGAGACUGGAAUUCCCGGUGUAACGGUGGAAUGUGUAGAUAUCGGG
rnacentral:rRNA from 1 species